rnacentral:rRNA from 1 species
GAUGAACGCUGGCGGCGUGCUUAACACAUGCAAGUCGAACGAUGAAGCCCAGCUUGCUGGGUGGAUUAGUGGCGAACGGGUGAGUAACACGUGAGCAACCUGCCCCUGACUCUGGGAUAAGCGCUGGAAACGGCGUCUAAUACUGGAUAUGUCCCGUCACCGCAUGGUGUGCGGGUGGAAAGAUUUUUCGGUUGGGGAUGGGCUCGCGGCCUAUCAGCUUGUUGGUGAGGUAAUGGCUCACCAAGGCGUCGACGGGGAGCCGGCCUGAGAGGGUGACCGGCCACACUGGGACUGAGAAACGGCCCAGACUCCUACGGGAGGCAGCAGUGGGGAAUAUUGCACAAUGGGCGGAAGCCUGAUGCAGCAACGCCGCGUGAGGGAUGACGGCCUUCGGGUUGUAAACCUCUUUUGGCAGGGAAGAAGCGAAAGUGACGGUACCUGCAGAAAAAGCACCGGCUAACUACGUG